rnacentral:rRNA from 1 species
UACGUAGGGUGCAAGGCGUUGCCCGGAUUUAUUGGGCGUAAAGGGCGCGCAGGCGGCUACGCACGUCCGUUGUGAAAUCGCUCGGCUCAACUGGGCGGGGUCGGCGGAUACGGCGUAGCUGGAGCAAGCUAGGGGCAAUGGAAUUCCCGGUGUAGUGGUGGAAUGCGUAGAUAUCAGGAGGAACACCGAUGGCGAAGGCAGGUCUCUGGGCAUUAACUGACGCUGAGGAGCGAAAGCAUGGGGAGCGAACAGG